rnacentral:lncRNA from 1 species
AUGGUAGUGGAAACUCUGGAGUAUGUAGGCAACAUUACAAUGAAUGUUUUACAAUUGCCAUUUCAACAUGAACUGGUUCUCUGGCAAGUCCUGGCACAAGUAUAUGUAAUCUUUAUGGCUAUGUCGCAGACUCUAACCCAAGUGAAGAAAGUAUUUAGAUUCAUGGUUCCCCUUAAGGCAGAGAAGAUUAUGGCUGUUGAUACCAACUUAGAGGGCAUUAUUAAGGCUUUACUUGAACAACUGAUCAAGGAAAAAGAACUAGAUCUAGUUAUGGGCAAGGACAAUGGGCAAACUGAAAAUAUACCUCAGGAAAAUCAAAAUGGCAAUGAAAAUGAAAACCAGGCUGCUAGUGACCCUGAGAAAAUCUAUCCUUUGAAGGAAGUCACUAAGCUAACCACUAAUGCUGGUGUAAUUCACUCAAAAGCCCAUAGACAAUUCUCCACACAGGAACUGGAGUCCAUAAAAUGCUGUUUCACAAAAUUUAUGGACAAUCCUUUUAAAUCCCAAAAGUUGCUGAAGAGAGCAUUCAGGAUCUUUGAUCCAGAUUUUGAAGAUGUCGCAUUCCUGUUGUCUGAGCUGUUCAUCCCCCAUGAACAGAGACGAUUUUUGGAGAAAACCAGAUCUGACAACAAUUUGACUAGAUGGCUAACUGUAGAACAAAGAGGGGAUAUGGACUUUGCCAAUCCAACUGGCAUGUCCUACCUGAAAAGGUGCAGGGAGGACUUGCUGCAGGCCAUUAAGCAAUACUGUUCGAAGCCAAAUGCAUGGGCCAAGAUUGACAAGAUCAGACAGGAUAAAGGGAAAUAUCCUGCCACAUACAUAGACUGUCUGUUAGAGACAGCAGAGUCAAUCCUAGGGCUAGAAGCCAAUACUGAAGAGACAGCUGGACACAUCCAUAGACAAUUUCUGAGGGGAUGCACACCCAAUUUGAGAAUAUUCUUCAAAAAUUAUUUCUGUAAGUAUGACUCAGUUUCCCUAAUUGAAUUGAGAGAGGCUGCUGGCUACCUAUUUGAAAAUAAUUCAGAUCAAACUAAACAAAUCCAAGAUCUGAAAGAUAAGUUAGAGAGGACAGAGAAUGAUUUGAAACAAAAGGAAAUUGAGGAAAUUAAAAAUCUGAACACGGUUAGGACUUAUACAAAAUCUAGUCCCCAGAAACCUAGUUACCAGGCAAGAUCAGUGCAAAGAGAAACUAGAGAGUGUUUCUUCUGUCACUGGAAAGGACACUUGAUUAGAAACUAUUUUUUAAAGAAGAAACAUGAGAGUAAUAACAAAGACAAACAUAAUGCACAAUCUAGGUACAAGAAGUCCACUUGUUGUUCACAUUGCAAGUUAAAGUCCUCACAAGCUCUGGACUUAAAUGAAAUGCAACUGGCUAUAAAAACUGGAGCAAAGCCAAAGUAUUCUGAUGUGGUCAGAAAACAGUUAUGA